rnacentral:lncRNA from 1 species
GCCCUUUCCCUCUAUAUUUGAACACCAUGGAUCGUCUCUCGAGUCGUUCCUUUUGGUUGCUUACAAUCCACCACGCUUCCCUGCAAGUUCAUGCCCUCGUGAACAGAAGCUGAGAGCCUCGCUCUCUUGACACCCUACCCCUCGGGUCGAGCCCAGCGGGAGCAAACUGGACCAGCCAGAUGUCAAUCAACAUGUGGUGCAAUUCCCCUAAGCCAACCAACAGAGUCGGACCCGAGACC